rnacentral:rRNA from 1 species
GACUAAGCGUACACGGUGGAUGCCUUGGCAGUCAGAGGCGAUGAAGGACGUAUUAACUUGCGAUAAGCCCAGAUUAGGCAGUAAAAGCCACUUGAGUCUGGGAUUUCCGAAUGGGGAAACCCACUUGCAUAAGCAAGUAUCAUUAACUGAAUACAUAGGUUAAUGAGGCGAACCGGGGGAACUGAAACAUCUAAGUACCCCGAGGAAAAGAAAUCAACCGAGAUUCCGAAAGUAGCGGCGAGCGAAAUUGGACUAGCCCUUAAGCUUUACACGCGUUAGACGAACGGUCUGGAAAGUCCGACGAUACAGGGUGAUAGUCCCGUAGUUGACGACGUGUGUUCAGUGAAAUCGAGUAGGGCGGGACACGUGAUAUCCUGUCUGAAUAUGGGGGGACCAUCCUCCAAGGCUAAAUACUACUGACUGACCGAUAGUGAACCAGUACCGUGAGGGAAAGGCGAAAAGAACCCCUGUGAGGGGAGUGAAAUAGAACCUGAAACCGUGUACGUACAAGCAGUAGGAGCAGGCUUGUCCUGUGACUGCGUACCUUUUGUAUAAUGGGUCAGCGACUUAUAUUCAGUGGCAAGGUUAACCAUCUAGGGGAGCCGUAGGGAAACCGAGUCUUAACUGGGCGUUCAGUCUCUGGAUAUAGACCCGAAACCAGGUGAUCUAGCCAUGGGCAGGUUGAAGGUUGAGUAACAUCAACUGGAGGACCGAACCGACUAAUGUUGAAAAAUUAGCGGAUGACUUGUGGCUAGGGGUGAAAGGCCAAUCAAACCUGGAGAUAGCUGGUUCUCCCCGAAAGCUAUUUAGGUAGCGCCUCGGACGAAUACUACUGGGGGUAGAGCACUGUUAAGGCUAGGGGGUCAUCCCGACUUACCAACCCUUUGCAAACUCCGAAUACCAGUAAGUACUAUCCGGGAGACACACGGCGGGUGCUAACGUCCGUCGUGGAGAGGGAAACAACCCAGACCGCCAGCUAAGGUCCCAAAUUACUACUAAGUGGGAAACGAUGUGGGAAGGCUCAGACAGCCAGGAUGUUGGCUUAGAAGCAGCCAUCAUUUAAAGAAAGCGUAAUAGCUCACUGGUCGAGUCGGCCUGCGCGGAAGAUGUAACGGGGCUAAGUAGUAAACCGAAGCUGCGGCAAUACUCUUUGAGUAUUGGGUAGGGGAGCGUUCUGUAAGCGGUUGAAGGUGUGUGGUAACGCAUGCUGGACGUAUCAGAAGUGCGAAUGCUGACAUGAGUAACGA